rnacentral:rRNA from 1 species
GGUUGAUCCUGCCAGUAGUCAUAUGCUUGUCUCAAAGAUUAAGCCAUGCAAGUCUAAGUAUUAGUUUUGAUACAACGAAACUGCGAAUGGCUCAUUAUAACAGUUAUAAUUUACGUGAAAGUAAUUACUACACGGAUAACCGUGGUAAUUCUGGAGCUAAUACGUGCAUAACACUGGACUUCGGAACAGUGGCACUUAUUAGAUUAAGAACUAACCUAUGCUUGCAUAGUAGUUGGGUGAUCCAUAAUAAGUUGGCGAAUCGCAUGGCUUAGGCUGGCGAUAGUUCACUUAA